rnacentral:rRNA from 1 species
UGGGGAAUAUUGCACAAUGGGCGAAAGCCUGAUGCAGCAACGCCGCGUGCGGGAUGACGGCCUUCGGGUUGUAAACCGCUUUCAGCAGGGACGAAGGUUUUCUGACGGUACCUGCAGAAGAAGCACCGGCUAACUACGUGCCAGCAGCCGCGGUGAUACGUAGGGUGCGAGCGUUGUCCGGAAUUAUUGGGCGUAAAGAGCUUGUAGGCGGCCCGUUGCGUCGGAAGUGAAGACUCAGGGCUUAACCCUGAGCCUGCUUUCGAUACGGGCGGACUUGAGGGAUGUAGGGGAGAACGGAAUUCCUGGUGGAGCGGUGGAAUGCGCAGAUAUCAGGAGGAACACCAGUGGCGAAGGCGGUUCUCUGGACAUUUCCUGACGCUGAGAAGCGAAAGCGUGGGGAGCAAACAGGCUUAGAUACCCUGGUAGUCCACGCCGUAAAACGGUGGGCACUAGGUGUGGGACCCAUUCCACGGGUUCCGUGCCGUAGCUAACGCAUUAAGUGCCCCGCCUGGGGAGUACGGCCGCAAGGCUAAAACUUAAAUGAAUUGNCGGGGUCAU